GACGAACCGAGCGAACGUUGUUCGGAAUCACUGGGCUUAAAGGGCGCGUAGGCGGGCUGUCAAGUCUGGGGUGAAAUCCCGCGGCUCAACCGUGGAACUGCCUCAGAUACUGACGGUCUCGAGGGAGAUAGGGGCGAGCGGAACUAAUGGUGGAGCGGUGAAAUGCGUUGAUAUCAUUAGGAACUCCGGUGGCGAAGGCGGCUCGCUGGAUCUCUUCUGACGCUGAGGCGCGAAAGCUAGGGGAGCGAACAGG
rnacentral:rRNA from 1 species